UACGUAGGGUGCAAGCGUUGUCCGGAAUUAUUGGGCGUAAAGAGCUCGUAGGCGGUCUGUUGCGUCGGCUGUGAAAACCCGGGGCUCAACCCCGGGCCUGCAGCCGAUACGGGCAGACUAGAGUUCGGCAGGGGAGACUAGAAUUCCUGGUGUAGCGGUGAAAUGCGCAGAUAUCAGGAGGAACACCGGUGGCGAAGGCGGGUCUCUGGGCCGAUACUGACGCUGAGGAGCGAAAGCGUGGGGAGCGAACAGG
rnacentral:rRNA from 1 species